rnacentral:rRNA from 1 species
AGAGUUUGAUCAUGGCUCAGAACGAACGCUGGCGGCAGGCUUAACACAUGCAAGUCGAACGGGCCCUUUCGGGGGUCAGUGGCAGACGGGUGAGUAACACGUGGGAACGUACCUUUCGGUUCGGGAUAACCCAGGGAAACUUGGGCUAAUACCGGAUACGUCCUUAGGGAGAAAGAUUGAUUUGCCGAGAGGUCGGCCCGCGUCUGAUUAGCUAGUUGGUGGGGUAAAGGCUCACCAAGGCGACGAUCAGUAGCUGGUCUGAGAGGAUGAUCAGCCACACUGGGACUGAGACACGGCCCAGACUCCUACGGGAGGCAGCAGUGGGGAAUAUUGGACAAUGGGCGCAAGCCUGAUCCCAGCCAUGCCGCGUGAGUGAUGAAGGCCUUAGGGUUGUAAAGCUCUUUCGGCGGGGACGAUAAUGACGGUACCCGCAGAAGAAGCCCCGGCUAACUUCGUGCCAGCAGCCGCGGUAAUACGAAGGGGGCUAGCGUUGUUCGGAAUCACUGGGCGUAAAGGGCGCGUAGGCGGCUUUAUAAGUCGGGGGUGAAAGCCUGUGGCUCAACCACAGAAUUGCCUUCGAUACUGUAUGGCUUGAGACCGGAAGAGGUCAGUGGAACUGCGAGUGUAGAGGUGAAAUUCGUAGAUAUUCGCAAGAACACCAGUGGCGAAGGCGGCUGACUGGUCCGGUUCUGACGCUGAGGCGCGAAAGCGUGGGGAGCAAACAGGAUUAGAUACCCUAGUAGUCC